GACUUUGGGUUUGAGGUGGGUCAUGAUGGUUGACUUGUCCUUGAGCCCAUUGUCAUUUAAUUCUUGCUAAGCUGCUUCAGAUCGAACUCGACCAGACAAGACUAAAACCCAAACCGUGACCUAAUAAAAAGGGUUAAUUAAACCUUUGCCCCAUACAUAAUUAAUUAUAACUUUCGAUCGAAUCAGGACCAAAACCCAUUUAAUUAUAGCCUUAGCUUGAUUACAACUCUAUUAGGUUACCAAAUCGGGUCAA
rnacentral:lncRNA from 1 species